ACAUUUGCCUGUCAGGGGAGAUACCAUGAUCACAAAGGACGUUUUCCCAGGGCAAGGCUUGUCCAUUGCACUCCUGAUGUGCUGACCCCUGCAAUUUUCCCAAAUGUGGGAAACUCAACUGCAUAAUUUGUGGUAGUAGGGUACUGCAUUAGUGCUCUCCCCUG